CAUUAUUUUUAAAUGUUUUUUUUUGUUCUUGGGCCAGGGGUUUUAAUGGUACUCCUCUCCCUUUUUGGAAUGAUUUUCAGAAACAUGAGCCUUAAUCCAGUGCCUGCUCCUUGAGUUUAGGGCUGGGCUCACAGGCGCCUUGAGGCCUACUUUUUGGGGUGAAGCCCUUUUUGAGUUUAAUGACUUGGUGACACAUAAUAAAAUCACAGGGUGUGUGUUGCCUUGUUUUUAUUUGUUUGGGUGGGGGGUCAUUUUUUGAUCAGCUUGGCUUUGAACUUUGGCUACAGUUCUGCAAUUCCCUUUAGAUGACGUGGUCGCUAGUUACUUUGCCUUCCGUUGCUCAGAUGUACUCCAACAUGAGUGGACUUGAGGUCUGAGGUCCCCCCUUUUUCUGUAUGAGUGACCAUGUGACCCCACCUAUGAAGGGUGCCCUCUCCUGAUUAGUACCCAGCAGUGCAAAGUUCCCACAGUCAGGUUUGUGACUUCAGGCUGUCACAUCUGGUGAUACAUUAUGGGGGCCUUCCCACUGCAGAAACGUUUUUCAGGAAUCAGAGACUUUCUGGCAAAUUGUGGCAUUCCCACCGCAGGAGCUCAGGCCAUUUGUCGUUCCUGGUACUUGUUUUAGCUCCUCCUUCUGGGUGUGUACUUUUCGUUCAACCAGGAUCUCUCGUGGGUGGGGCUCAGCUGAUGAUUUGUGCUGAUUGGUUGAUCACCAGCACUGGUGACAACUUACAAAUGUGUUCCUCGUUUGGUGCGCCGUGAUGUGCAACACAUCGAAGCGAUAAUCUCCUCCGUGAAGUCCCAAACGCCUCAAAGCAAUAAGGUGCAGGUGAACUCCUAACCGCUCCAUACUUCACAUCCCGUCCCUCUUCAUAGCUGCCUCUCUAGCACACUUCAUUGAAGCGAUCAUCUCCCCACUGAAGGCCAGAGCACCUCAAAGCAAUAGGCGGGGUCUCCCUUGAACUUCUGAACGCACCUCACUUCACCCUGCUUCACUCAUUUUUAUGUUCCACACAUCAUAUUUUAGGUCACAGUUCCGGUUUCUGUCGUGGGAACACAACACACAAAAGUGGUAAGGGACCACAAGGGGUGCAGGGUCUUCAUCACACAGGAACUCAUUGGUUCCUGAAUAUCGAGUUCCUGUGGUGGGCCAGCACUUUAUGUUUUAAUGUACUAGCUACACCUUGCUGUUGAAGACACAUAAUGGAAUAAAUUUAAAAA